UGGAAAACUGUUAUUUUAAAUUGUAAUAAUAUUUCACAAUAUUACUGUAGUUUUGAUCAAACAAAUGCAGCCUUGGUGAGCAUAAGACCUCUAAAUAUCGACCUCAAACUCUUGAACAGUAGUGUACAUACAUAUUUAUUUUCUGAAUCUUAAUAGAACACCCUACCAAGUCAUAACUGUUCCAGCAGAUGUCAGUUCUUCAGACUUCUUACCUACCAUCUGAUGGAGAGGCCGAAUUUCAUGCAACACCUGUCUGUGUUAUAAAUGGACGACUCUUGGGAAGCUUACGUGACUGUCUUAUUGCAGUCAGGCUCAUUAAAUGCCUAAGGUUACCAGAAUAUUACACUGGCCCUGCCAGGGCAUAACAAGAGUCAGAUGUAAUCUCUUGGAGGGCAGUGGGAUGGCUGUGUCAUGGCCUGGUUAAUACUGCGAUUUGAAGGAGUAGUUCACCGAAAAGUCAUCAUUAACUCGCUCAUAUUUUUCCUAACCUGUAUGAUUUUCAUCCUUUUAUAGACACACAAGGUAAGAAUAGAAUUUAGGGCUGUGAAGCUCCAACGUGAUGAACAGGAACCAUAAAAUUUGGUCAUAUAAGUAGUCCUUAUGUCUCAUGCAUUAUAUUCUGAAGCCAAACAACAAAACAGGCCAAAAUUAAAGCCAUUAUUCACUGAAAAUCUCGCCAUAGCGUAUCUUGAGAGUUCAUAAGAGAAUUAGUAAUGUCCACUUUAAUGAUGAACCUUUUUUUCAAGUUGGAUCUUUUGAAUGAAUUGUUUGAUCCAGUUCACAAAACCAGCAUGAGUCAGUUCUAUAGUGCUUGAUUCCUAAGGUCUACUUUUACAGUGAUUUUUAAAGCUUGAAAGCUCCAGACUGAGCAUGUAUCUAGUUCAUACACUUUGGUAUCUGUCAAAAUCCUUUUCCUUCUGGAUGCUGCAGUCAUGUCGGGUCAUGAGGUCCAAGCCUGUGCCAGAUUUGAUUUUGUGUUAUUCAAUCUCUCCUACCAGGAUCCAUCUCUGCUUGGACCAUCAAAAUCAAACUGAAGUUUGGUGGAGGUCAAUAUGAAAGAGUCUAGAAAAAAUGACCCAGCCCAAAUCCUGAGGUCGCCAGACUCGCCUUUGUCACACCAGGACCAGAGGUCAGACAUUUUUCUUACCGCUUGCAAAAUUAGAAAGGUCCAUUUCUUACAAGUUCAGCAUUUUGUAUAAAGUAAUAUCCUAAGGGUUAGGUGAUUUUCUUCGAUCUUUACCCCCUCUGAAUAUUGCAUGUUGAUUUAUGGCCCACACGCUGAGCCAGAUCCAGGUCUCAAAAUGGAUUUUAAUGGAGUCGCAUUAGUGGAGUUAUUCAAGAUAAGGGCUUAUCAGCCAGCUCAAAUUUACUUAACACUUCACAUCAAUCCAUCUCAACUUGUACUAGGCCUGUGAGAGUUGUAUUUUAGGUGCUAUUGAGAAUACACAGACAAUUUUCAGUUUUCUGCUUCAUGGCUUCUUAUCGUAAUCUCUUUUCUAGAAAAUUAUCCAUAAAGUUGUCAUUUAGCUUAAUUUUAUGCAGGAUAAUUGAACAGAGUUUAGCUAUUUUAACACAAUGAUUCAUUGAAGUGUGCCCUUCAAAAAGAUAGGAAGUAAAUUAGUCCCUGAUGAGGCAAGAUUGCAUUGACUCCAUACCUGCUAAUAUGCUUUUUUGUUGUGCUUUUGUUAGUUAUAAAUAGAGACUCAAAUACUUUCCAACCAUUCAACAACAGUUGCAACCCAUUUUCUAUUACCACUGUUAACCAUUAUUUUAAAUUGUGGAAAAUAGUAACUGUAAAGAGAAUAAUUGAGUAAAUACUGACC
ensembl:lncRNA